CUACGGGGCGCUCCAGUUAGGAAUAAUCUACAAUGCGCGCAAGCGUGAUAGUUUGAGCCAGAGUGUUUAUCAAUUGAUAAACUUUUGUGAAAUGUAAAAAGUUUUUCGAAUAAGGACUGGGUAAGACUAGUGCCAGCCGCCGCGGUAAUACUAGCGGUCCAAGUCGCAGCCACUUUUAUUUGGUCUAAAACAUCCGUAGCUUGCUUAGUAAGUCUCUUGUGAAAUCCUAUAUCCCAAAUAUGGGGCGUGCAAGGGAUACUGCUGAGCUAGAGACUGGAAGACGUAAGAAGUACGCUUAGAGUAGCGGUCAAAUGUGUUGAUCCUAAGUGGACUAACAAUAGCGAAGGCAUCUUACGAGGACAGUUCUGACAGUAAGGGAUGAAGGCUGGGGGCGCAAAGGGGAUUAGAUACCCGCGUAGUC
rnacentral:rRNA from 1 species